rnacentral:lncRNA from 1 species
UUCCCUGCGAGGCCGAGGCCCAGGCCGGCGGCCCGGUGCGUGGCGGGCGGCGAGGGGGCGCUGUGGCCCGCGACUGCGGCCUGCUGGGCUCCGCGCAGGGCAGGGCUCGCGUGGGAGAAGGAAGACACCGCGAGCGCUUCGGACCCGGCCGCUCCCACCGCUUCUGUUACUCUGGCCUUCCUUGGAGUGUGAGUUCGGUGAAAACAGAGCCACCAUCGUGGGCGGGUAGUUUUGCGGGCAGUUCAGGCUAAGUAAGCACAUUUCGCCUCGGCUCCCUUCAGUGAGGGAACGUGUAACCCGCGUGGCACUUCCCUCCGCCGCCGAGCCUCCUUCCCGGACUGCGGGCCCGCGUGGGCGUGGGGGAACGGCAAGAGGAGGGGGCGUGGCUUUGCAGUUUGCUUUUUCUUAAAACUGAAACUCCUCGUUACACAUCGUGCGAAAUCUGUCCGGCUGCAGCGUGUUCGCGACCCCCUCCUUCGAGGGCCAGCGGGCUGCACUUCGGGAUGGGAGCCAGCGGCCCCUGGGGAGGCGCGCCGUAUGGGUGCGUGGCGCCUGGACCCCUCCGCCCGAGGCAGCUCUCUUGGCAGCCCUGCCACGUGCAGCUGACCAUCUUCAGCCGCUGCGAGGGCUGCUCCUUGCGAACCUGCCGCUCCCGGUGUCCUCCUCCGCCUGGCGGACUCGGGCCUGUCCUCCUCCUCCACCUCCCUCAGCCCUGCGCCCCUCGGCGAUGACCUCGGGCGGGCUCUCCCGGCGGGUGCGGGCACCCUGGGCUGCAGAGCCGACCUUGCUUGGACGUGGACGGGCUGGAGUUCCUCUGAAGGAUCUGCAUUCCGGGAGACACUUUUAGGAACAGGAAGCCCGGCCCGGUUCUGGGCAGGCGGUAUCUGAGGACAACACCUUUGCCCUGCAGUGGAGCAGGCCGGGCCCACGCCCCAGAGCUCCCAGGGUGCUCUGGGCGAGUGGAGUCGUCGGGAUUUGUUUUGUUUUGUAAAAAUAUUUCUGCAAGACAGACCCCGGGAGAACGCAGCUCUGCGUGCAGCAGCCCUCGUGCAUUCCUGCUUCCGGACGCCAGAGCGCACCUCAGUGCAGGCCAGUGCAGCGCCCUGCUGCGGCACCGCGGGCCAUCCCCGGAGCAGGUAGGCAGACUCCGCCGCCGCCCGCCGGGAAGACGCGGGAAGCUCCGUCUGAUCGAGCAGUCAGGCCCUGAGGAGUGUUUGUCUGGGGCCGCGUUGCCCUUGGCCGCCCCUUAACUAGGUGUGCGCACCCAAAGCAGUUCGCCCUCCCCGUGGGCUGGGGUCGUGGUCCACACGAAUUCACCCUGCGCCCAAACUCCCCGAAGGACUUACACGCGUGAGACUGGGUCGGCAGGGCAGAGGAGGGUUGUUGUUUGUUUUUUUUUUUGAACGUGGCAUGGAGUGCAGAAAUAUUUUUUAAAGGAUAUUCGUUACAAGUCAAACCCUCAGCAGGGCAGACCGCAGCUGCGACUGACAGGAGAGUUCUGCAGAGGACGGGUAAGGACACUGUGCAGAAUCCGUUCAGUGUCAGCAGAGACCCUGGGCCUGGAGCAGGGUUCACUUGUGCUGGGGAGACCCCUGGCAGGAAAAGAACCUCAUGCCGCCUGCACCAACCAACAGGGCCUAGGGGUGCUGAGCCUGCACCCCUGGCUGUGACAGUUCUGGUUGCUGUGGGGAAAUUAGGGAAGCAUCCCCUCCUCACCUGCUGCCCUCUGCAGCGAAGAGGCCACUGGGGAGGGGAGCCGGGUGCUGCUCCAGGGCAGCGUGGAGGCACCGUGCGCAGUGUGGGCAGGAGAGCGCCUUGUCCCGCCACCCCGUGGGUCUGUGGCCUGGAGCGGCCCCCAGAGCCCACAUCCACCCACGGAAGAGGUCCCAAGGGCGGAAGAUGGGGGAGGAGAACACAGAGAAGACGGCCCCAGGCCCUGGCGGCUAAGGCCCUGGGGAUGCAGGGCUGGGAGUUGCACGCUUUCAUGCUGCCACGCUGCACGUGCUUCUCCAUGUCACUGUGAACGCACUUUGGGUGAGCAUAUUGUAGAAGUCAGCCAUGGAUUAAAGCCAGGACUGCAGAAAGGCAGGAGGACAGGGAAGGGCCAGGGAGGCAGGGAGAAGACCUGGUCAGGCGGCUCUGCUGGGCCCUGGCCCGGGCCCUUCCCCCCUCUGCGUCUCUGCUCCGGCAGACCGGGUGCAGUGUUCUGGGCCCCUCCACCCGCGCUGCCUUCCCUGCAGCCCCAGAACGGGAUCUCCACACACACUGCCCGCUCACCACCCCUGCACAGUGGACGAGGUCUUGGCCUGGCUCACUUGGGAAUCGCCAGACCUCCCCGUGUUCACUCCACUCCGACCUGUUCACUGGAGGCCGGGACGGGAGCAGAGGGCUGGCGCCUGCUGCACCCCGCUCCCUGCGCUGGGCACCCUGACCUCUCACCUCCUGCACACAGCAGGCCACCUCCCAGGCCAGCGCCCCCUCCUUGGAGGCUUCAACCUCAAGACUCUUGUGCUGCUGCCUCCUGGCUGCUGAGGCAGCCACUUCCAGGGACGCUGGCUCUCCCUUCCUGCCCCCACCCUGCCCGGCACGCUUGGCACUGUGGGCAUAGGACAGGCACCGAGCAGAUGCAUGGACGCAUGUGUGACUGGCCCUUGGCAACUCACCUUUCUGCCAAAAGCGAUAGCAGGGCUUGUGGGUGAGAAACAACGAUGACGUGGACGCCUGCGUACAGUCCCCACUGCCUGCUGCUCCGGCGGCCUCCCCACACCUGGUCAUUGCUACGUUUCCAUCUGAUGUUUUCCGGAUGACCCCCACAGCCUCAGGACAUCUUCAGUGGGGCUGCAGGGAGGCGACUGCAUUGUGGGGGCUGAUGGCUGGCUUGCUGUUGGGAGGGGCCGUUGGAGGACACAGGUCACUGGGGGCGUGGCCCAGAAGGGUCUGCCUUCCUCCCUCAUCUCCCUGCUUCAUCUACACCCUGCCACGAGCAGCUCUCCUCUGCCAGGCCCCUCUGGCCUGCACCCUGCCUCGGAGCCAGCUGACUAUGGACUGAAGCCUCCACAGACUGGGAACCGACAUAAACCUCUCCUUAUAGUUGAGGCUGUCCAGUGUCGUGUUCUAGCAACAAAACAGGUGACUAAGACAGUCACGGCCACUGCAAGGAAGCCGGUCCAAGCACAUCACUCCUUGGCAGCCCCAAGUUUUAAGACCAACAGAUACAGACAUUUAAAAUCACAUUUAAUUCUAAAAUUCCCCGCUUGGCAAUCCAAUCUUGGAGGACAGGAAUUGCCCCCUGACCUUCCUGCCCCCAGCACAUGGCUGUGAACUGAGUGAAUGAUGAAGUGCAUGUUGACAUUUGGGAAGAGGAAACUUAAGAGCAAACCGGACUUGGAGGAUAUUUUCAAUACAAAUUCAGAGCGGGCCUGUGUUAGAAACCAAUGUAAAAAGUCAUGUAGGCCCCAGCAAGGUUUUCAUAGACUGCGUGAGCUUAUGCUUAAGUAAGCAUGCAAAAGCUAAGGCUUCAGAAGAGCUCAAAGAGCUUUUAAGCAGCAGAAGAGAGUGGGAGGACUCAGCCUACCUGACCCUGAGAUGAGUGGAUGUCAACAUGAGGAUCGGUUUGUGGUGGAGGGGUGGACACAGGCCAGCAGAGCAGAGCGGACAACCCAGAGGGGCCUGUGCUCACGGGGCCCCAUUAGUUAUUUCCUAGCUCUGGGUUUGAGCCCAGGGCGUCACACCUGCGAGGUCCGGCCUCCAUCACUGAGCCCGCCCCCAGCCCCAUUUGCUUUUUGCGGGGGAGGGAUUCAGCCUUUUUAGCAACUGGAGCUGGAGCAAAGGGGCAACACUAAGACAGCAAGUUUUACAAAAGAGUUUCUUCACACAGCCAGGCGUGGAGGAGGAGAGCCAGGCUCAGCCUCCUCCCAGAGGGCAGGGCUUAGGGACAUUCAUGGAAGGAGUAGGAUGGCCUAAGGCGUGGGGAGGCCAGGGGCACAGGGGAGGUUGGCGGUGGGCUGCACGGCUCCUCAGAGGACACACGUCUGGAUAACACGGCACUGACAGAGCAGAGGGUGCAGCUCUUGACCCCUGGGUGUUGAAGAAGUCAUCUGUGACCCUGCACAGCCCCAUGCUCAGAGCUGGGGCCCUGCCAAGGUAGCCGGGCAGCCCAGAUGCCCAUUGCCUACCCUCCAGCUGGUCACCUGCAGAGGAGGUGGCUGGUCAGUGACACCAUGCGCAUCUUCCUGACCUCCAAAAUGCAAGACUUUCAAAGUCACCUAAAAGCAAGUAACAAUGCAAGUGUCCCUCAGUUUCAGACCUGCAGUUCCCUGCUUGACCGCCGGACCCUGCUCCUGAAGAGAGGAGUCGCUGGGUGCGGCCUCUCAAUGUCAGGCGUCUUUGCAGAGAGCCGCCCUCCCGGAGAGGUGCUCACGGGGGCCUGGACCUGGCCUGCGUCCUGCCGGUGAGCGGCACUGUGUGCAGGUGGACUGCGCUUCAUCACCCUUUGGCUGCUUUAGACUUGUGAGCUGUUCCCAGUGCUCGGGCUGUUUUGGAAAACAGACGAACACUGCUUUGACUUCUUAGUGCAGCCCUCUAUGACAACUUUUCAUUCAUCCUGGGUGAAACCCUAGGAGUGGAGCAGGUCAUCAGAGUCUGGCCUAUUUUGCCGACCACGACAAUCUUCAGUUCUACCCAUUGCUGGCAGCUGACAUGAUUUCCUGUUCGUUAUGGCUGAGGGCUUCUCGGCUCCAGUCUUACCCACUUUUCUCUGUCAGUUCACCUUUGGACAGACACCUACCUGAUUCCCCAACCUGGGCGUUCGGUUUUGAAAAGCUGCCAGGUUGUUGCCUGAGCCGGGCCGAUGUGGCAGAGCUCCAUCGCUGCUCUCUGGCCUGCACCUGGCGUGGUUGGCUUUUCAGCUGGGGCCGUCCUGGGUCCUGGUGGGCACUUCCUUAGGUCCCGAAUCUCUGGCCUCCCCUCGUCAUGGGGUCAGCCAGACGGACUGUGUGUCUGUUUCCCUGUCCCUGAAUGCUGUGGCAUUUGAAGGCUGACGGCUCAGCUGUCCUUCCAGGGCCAGGACCUGGUGGAGGUGGCAGGCUCAGCUGGCAGCACAACAUUCACGUGCAGUCCAGGCGACACCAGGUGUGUACCCCUGCCUCCCCACAGGCCGACUCCUAAUUCCCCGGCCAGAAUCGGCCCCAGGAAUCAGACAGCUGGAGGCCACUGGCGGGACCCAGAGCCAGCAGCCGGCACUCCGAGGAGCUGGCCAAGCCACCGAGGGCCCUGCCUGCCCGGAGGGGACCCCUGGUUCUGUUCCCUGGUUCUGCCUUGCCAGUGCCGGGUCCCGUGGGCUGCUUGCCUCCUGAUGUCCUCCAGAGAAACCAAGCAGUGCCCCGUCCUCUAAGCACCAGUCUCUCUGUGGUGCUGUCACCGGGCACGCGGCCCCGAGGGCACUCUUGGAGCACAGGGCAUCUCCUGUGGCAGGGCUGAAUUUCCAAGUGACUCACGGCAUCCAUCCACCUUCCCUGCCACCUCUGUCCCCUCUUUUGGCCCUGUAAUCCCCCUCAGAAGGGUUUUCCCGCGCUAUGCUCACCCUCCUUUCUCAGUGCAUGCCUUACAAAGAUUUCCCCCACCUGGGGUUGGUCUUCUCAGUCUUUAACUCUUAUCCACAGAGUUAUUCAGCAGGCAAAGCUUUCAAUUUUGGUAAACUCUGGGUUACAAAAUCUUUCCUUUUGCCGUGUGUGUACAUGUGUAUUCUAUUCAAGAAGUAUUUGCCUAUCCACGGCCUCAGACUUUCUCCAGUAUAACUCACAGGAGUUUUUAGGGUUUAACUCUUCAUUUAGGCCUGUUAUGAUUGUCACUUUGGAAUAUUUUAAGGUGUGUGAUAAGGGUUAGAGUUUAUCCUCUUUGCAUACAAUAUCACUUACUAGUAUUUUAUAAAAUUAGUUUGGAAAUUCCUAGUCCUGUGCAUUACGUGUAAAUUUUGAGUUAGCUUUUCAGCUUCUAUGAAGGGGCUACUCAAGUUGGAUUGGCAUUUAACUGAUGACAUCAUUUUGUGGAGAAUUACUCUCAAAAAUAUUGACUCAUUUAAGCCAUAAAGACUAUAUACAUUUCCUCUUUUUUAAGUCAUUUAAAAUUUUUCUCAGGAAUGCUUUAUGGUUUAGUAUACAGAUUUUGAACAUAGUUAUUAAAGUUAUUCAGUAUUUUAUUCUAUCAUUUAUUUACUUAUGCUUUUAGAAAUGUUUUUUUGCAAUAAUUUUCAAAUUGUUCAUUGUGAAUAUGUAUGGGUAUACACAUGUUUUUUGUAUGUUCACCAUGUGUUCUCCAGUGUGGCUAAUUUCAGUUAUUAGUCAGGUUAUCUUUUCUAUAGGUUUGUACAAAAUUCUACAUCAACGAUUAUGUUGUGUGUGCAUGAAGAAAUUCCCUCUUCCCUUUCUCAUCUGUCCACUGCCCUCACUGGGAUGCCAGCAUCCUGGGGGAAGGUGAGGGUCCCUUGUCCCUGCCCAGCUGGUGCCUGCUCUGGCCCUGAGAGGCAUCCUGAGCAGGUGAGAACAUUCCCUUCACUUGAUCACCAAGUGCUGUUACCAUGAACGGAGCUUCACUUUUCUGGGCAAUUACUUUUCUCCAUCUACUGAGAUAUAUUUUUCUAUGUAAAUCUACUUCCUUAAUGUAUGACAUUAAUUGAUUUUCAAAUGUUAAAUUAACCUUGCAUUCCUGGAAUUAACUCCAGUUGGCUGUGGUUAAAUUGCCAUUUUACAGGCCAGUGUCUCUUACAGACACAGAAAUAAAAAUUCUCCGACAUAGGAGCGAAUUGAGUUCAGUAAUGUAUUAAAGGAUAACAUAUGAUGUGUAAAUGGAUUUAUUGUAGGAAUUUUGAAAAGUCAGUCAAUGUAAUUUUCCUAUUAGCUGAAUAAAGGAGAAAAAUCUAAUGACCAUUUCAAUUGACGGUUUUGCCAAAAUGUAUAGCUUCUUCAUUAAGAACACUCAGGAAACUGAACACAGUAGAAUUUCCCAGACUUCUAAGGGAUACCAGUGGGCCAUCUCCAGCAAUGCCAUUGUUGAUUAUGAAGCUGUGGACACUCGUCUGGUCUGGGAGCAAAGUAAGGAUGCCCUCUUCUGUGAAGCCUCGGAGAGAAGGCCUUAGUGAACAAACCAGAUGAAGUUCAGAAAGGUUUCCUAGUCAUCCAUCCAAAAUCCUAAGGAGUCCACAAAUGUCUACUAGGAUUGGUCCGUGAAUACAGCAUGGUUAUAGGACACAAAGCUCACGGUUGAAAGAGAUCAAUUAUAUUUCUACAAAAGGGUAAUAGGCAACACAUAAUAGGGACAUUUAAUUUUUAAAUGGCAUUUACAAUAUUAUAAAAAUAUUAAACUAAUAGGAAUAAAUUAAAUCAGCUAUGAUGCAUGAAAACGCAUGAGAAACUGUGCAGUAAUGCAGAGAGUAAUUGAAGGGGGUGAAAUUUGCCAUGAGACACAGUCCUGGAGAUGAGCACGUGUGGGGAGAUGGGUCCCCAGCUCCUAGGCAGACCGCAGAGCCGAUCCAAGUCCAGUAAGCUUUUCUGUGGAAACCAAUGGAGUUGACUCCAAAUACAGUAGUAAGCAGUUUGCAAAAGGAAGAGCCGACCUGGAGAGCUUAUGACUUGGUUUCUUGCCUGGCCCUGAAAUGACAGUGACUUUCCCAGUGUGAUGCUGGGGAAGGUAGACGAGGGAUCAGAGCAGAGCUGGAGCCCAGGAGAGACCCCUUCCUGUGGCAUAAAUGGGCUGGUGCCAGAGCACCUCAGUAUCCCUGUGCAAAGAGCAGGUGAUCGCGUUCCUAGCUCGCAUACCUACAGAAUUACAGAGGCCUCUCUGUCUAUGAGCCCUGCUGUUGGUGAACAACUAGCUUCACAAACAGAAGCAGUUGGCAGAAUUUUGUUUGGUGUGCAAACUGCACCGGGUGGCAGAUAGGACUGAGGCCAUCUUUCCCCUACUCACACGAACGUGGCUGUCUUUUCCAGAAUCGUGGAAUGAAUUAAGUUUGUGAACUGAGGUACCACUGUAUUUUUAAAUGGAUUGUAGAUCCAAAUGUCAAAGCCAAACUGUAAAACAUCUAGAAAACUACAGAAGUAAAACUUUGCAAUUUUGAAAUACGCAGGGUUUUUGUUUUAGACCCAAACAUUUUCCUAAAUGGAAAAUGGCAUAAAUUGAUUUCAAAAAAAUUCUCUUUGGAUGGAAAAUAAAAUGAAAAGGCAAACCACAAUAGAGGAAUAUAUAAUUAUAUGCAAAAUAUAGUAUUCUAGUGUAUAGUGUAAUUUUGAUACAGUAUAUAACUAUUAUAUAAUUAUUGCUUAAUAAUAUAGUAUGUUUUUAACAAGAGAUUUGUUUAUAUGAACUCAUCUUAAAUCUCAAUAAAUUCUAGCACUUGGGAGGCUGAGGCAGGAGGAUUGCCCAGAGUUCAAGGCCAGCCUGGGCUACAUGGUAAGUUUAGGGCCAGCCUGAACUACAAAGCAAGACCCUGUCUCAAAAGACCGAAAAACCAAAACCAAAGCAAAACAAAACAAAACUUCAACCCUAAUAAGAUCACAAUAAGCCUAACAGAAAUUUCACAAGUCCUAAACAGAUACUUGUCAAAACAAGAUAUAAAAUGAACAAUAAGUAUUUAAACUGGUUAGGAUUUUCAAUGAUAAGAGAAAUAU